CAGUAGCCGCGGUAAUACGGAGGGGGCUAGCGUUGUUCGGAAUUACUGGGCGUAAAGCGUACGUAGGCGGCUUUGUAAGUUAGAGGUGAAAGCCUGGUGCUCAACACCAGAACUGCCUUUAAGACUGCAUCGCUUGAACGUCGGAGAGGUGAGUGGAAUUCCGAGUGUAGAGGUGAAAUUCGUAGAUAUUCGGAAGAACACCAGUGGCGAAGGCGGCUCACUGGACGACUGUUGACGCUGAGGUACGAAAGCGUGGGGAGCAAACAGGAUUAGAUACCCCGGUAGUCCCUGUCUCUUAUAC
rnacentral:rRNA from 1 species